UAAAAGGCUCUUAUGACAAGUCAACAUAUAAUCAAAUAUGAUUUACAAUUUGUAAAGUACACAGAUUAAGACACGCAUAUGAUGCAUUAGUAUACUAUAAUCCACCUCCACCUGGAAAUAUAAGGGAGGUUUGUCCCACAUCUGUAGAAUAAAUUGCAACAGUAGAAGUGCAACACAGGAAAGAGUUGCAUGCUAUUCAGAUGGAGAAUGAGCUCCAGUGAAAUAAAAAAAUAAAAUUGAGAUAUAUUAAUAAAAGAAAAAUAUAAAUUUUAUAAAAA